UACAGAGGGUGCGAGCGUUAAUCGGAAUUACUGGGCGUAAAGCGCACGUAGGCGGCCCAGCAAGUCGGGUGUGAAAGCCCUCGGCUUAACCGAGGAAGUGCAUUCGAAACUACUGAGCUUGAAUACUGGAGAGGAUCGCGGAAUUCCCGGUGUAGAGGUGAAAUUCGUAGAUAUCGGGAGGAACACCAGUGGCGAAGGCGGCGAUCUGGACAGAUAUUGACGCUGAGGUGCGAAAGCGUGGGGAGCAAACAGG
rnacentral:rRNA from 1 species